CCGAAAGGUUGGCUAAUACCGCAUGAGUUCUACGGAAGAAAGAGGGGGACCCGCAAGGGCCUCUCGCGAGCGGAGCGGCCGAUGACUGAUUAGCCGGUUGGUGAGGUAACGGCUCACCAAAGCAACGAUCAGUAGCUGGUCUGAGAGGACGACCAGCCACACUGGGACUGAGACACGGCCCAGACUCCUACGGGAGGCAGCAGUGGGGAAUUUUGGACAAUGGGCGCAAGCCUGAUCCAGCUAUUCCGCGUGUGGGAUGAAGGCCCUCGGGUUGUAAACCACUUUUGUAGAGAACGAAAAGACACCUUCGAAUAAAGGGUGUUGCUGACGGUACUCUAAGAAUAAGCACCGGCUAACUACGUGCCAGCAGCCGCGGUAAUACGUAGGGUGCGAGCGUUAAUCGGAAUUACUGGGCGUAAAGGGUGCGCAGGCGGUUGAGUAAGACAGAUGUGAAAUCCCCGAGCUUAACUCGGGAAUGGCAUAUGUGACUGCUCGGCUAGAGUGUGUCAGAGGGAGGUGGAAUUCCACGUGUAGCAGUGAAAUGCGUAGAUAUGUGGAAGAACACCGAUGGCGAAGGCAGCCUCCUGGGACAUAACUGACGCUCAGGCACG
rnacentral:rRNA from 1 species